rnacentral:rRNA from 1 species
GAUGAACGCUGGCGGCGUGCCUAAUACAUGCAAGUCGAGCGAACAGACGAUGAGCUUGCUCCUCUGACGUUAGCGGCGGACGGGUGAGUAACACGUGGAUAACCUACCUAUAAGACUGGGAUAACUUCGGGAAACCGGAGCUAAUACCGUAUAAUAUAUUGAACCGCAUGGUUCAAUAGUGAAAGACGGUUUUGCUGUCACUUAUAGAUGGAUCCGCGCCGCAUUAGCUAGUUGGUAAGGUAACGGCUUACCAAGGCAACGAUGCGUAGCCGACCGGAGAGAGGGGUAGGCGGCAUGGGAAGGGGAACAGGGACAAGGGGACUGAGAGAGGCAGCAGUAGGGAAUGGGAGGCAGUAGGGGGGAGCAUGGCGGAGCAGGGCCGCGCGAGUGAUAAAAGUGUUGGGAGCGUAAAAAUGGGUUAUUAGGGAAAAACAAAUGUGGAAGUAAAUAAACAGGGAGUGACGGUAACGGAUAAGAAAGCAACGGCUAACUACGUG